AUAAUUUAACUAAUAAGCUAAAUAAAUACAUACAUAAAAUUUGCUAUAUUUUUUAUAAAUAAUUUUCUAAACAAGCUAGCCAAAAUGAAUUAUUUUUAUUUGUCAAUUUUCCUUUUUUUUGUGUUAUUUGUACAAAAUGAUUUUGUUUUAAGUGAAAAAAUCAUUCCUAUAAGUCCUGUAUGUAAAUUUUAUAAACAUAAACACAUUUAACCCAAAUUGGAAAACACUAUUUAGUAAAACUAUUUAUGUGAAUUAAAAAAAUCACUUAUAUACACUUUUUUUUUUUUUUUUUUUUUCAAUAUUUAUAUAACAUUUAUUUAGGCUAACCGUUCUAAAUUAAAAAAAAUAAUAGAAAACAAAAAAGAUUUUAAAAAAAAAAAAAAAUUAAAGGAUUGGUGAAAAAAAAAAAAAAUAUAUAUAUUGUAUAUAUUAUUGUAUGGUUGCACAAAUGUAUCAAUAUUCAUAACAGAAAAAAUGAUUAUUUUAUUUUUAUUUAUUUUUUUUUUUUUCACCAAUCCUUUAAUACCUCUUUCUGUAAGGCACCUAUUGAGGACACAGAAGAAGUUCUUGAAUCUUUAGAUGCCCUUAUGAGAGUGGAAGAAAUUCAAAAAAAAGUUGAAGAAGAAGAAUUUAUGAACGAUAAGCAAAGAUUAUUAAAAGUUCAUAAAAAGAGAAUUCAGGAUAUUGUAACUUUAUCUUUUGAACCUUUACAAGCAUUCUUACCGAAUCCCUUGCAAUAUCUUGUCAUUCAAGAUGUUCAGGCAUAUCUUAAAAACUUAAAACAAUGAUAACAGAAAAAUUGAAUACCCACAUAAAUAAAUAAACAAACAAACAAGCA
rnacentral:lncRNA from 1 species